ensembl:lncRNA
CUUGUUUACUGGUGGAGACCCAUUAGAGACGAAAGGGGGGAACCUGAUGGGAGAGGUACCGCUUCAACGGGAAUAGAAGUUUCCUCAUUGGCCGUCUUUUUAGGCUUAUACCUUUGUUUACCUCAUCCUUGGACUGUCGGAGACGGUACAUUUACUUUAACUAUAUCGUCAGCACAGAGACCACGUUUGCUGUUAGCUAGCUGCUUCCCCCCCCCCCAGCUAAUCUGAAAAAGACGGGCGGCGUGGUGUCGACUUUUCUCACUUUCCGACACACUGCCGCUUAUUAUUUUUAAUAGUUGAUCAGAUCGGCCGUGGUUCAUUAAACGAACAGGGUUUUUCCACCGCCGAGUCCCUUUUUGUGUGCGUUUCCCACCGGGUUGUCCAUCGGUCCGCGCCGGCGUGGUCAGCGGGGUGAAGGAGUUCAGAGGAAGGUCGUCGGGGAAGCGAUCCCCCGGCAGCACGUUUCCCUGCACGUACUCCAACACCACCUCGGUGAUGUGGACACAUCGGCGGGUUCGCAUCUUGGAAAGGUGAGCUCCAGCGAGAAAAAACAGGACGGGACACUACAGCAAAUACGUGAGAUACACGAGAGACCUGUGGACUUAAAAAAAACAACAACAACUUAACAACAGUCAACGCUGGUUUCUAAUUUGGUGUUAUUACUAACUUACGACCCAAAACACUGGGCUUCGUUGAAGUGAGAUCGUGCUCCUUACUACAACUCACCGCUUUUGGACUUGGCGUUUUUACUGUUCGUUUGGAGAAAGUAGUUGACUGGAGCAGGGCAUACUUGCCAUGGAGUGAACCCGUGUCGAACGGCUCGCCGUCGGGUAUUCCUCGCAGAUCUCCUCGGUGAACUGGACCUGUUUUCCUGGAUCCUCCGGUACGCUGUGAUAAACAGAUGAAAGACAACUACAUUGUGCGCUUAUGGAACAUGAAGCUUUUUAUCCGCACUUGUUUCGCCAGAACCCAAGACCACGUUAUUUAAGUGGUCGGACUUUUGUAAGGGUCUCAUCAAACUCCCAUCGUUUUAAAUCAUAAUACAACCACGUUGGACCCCGGCCCCUUUAGGGGGGGGCAACACCAUCUUUUUUUGCCAGUGUAUUAAAACACAUUUGGUUUUUUGUACGUUUUGUUAUUAUAACAUACCUAUUAUAAAAGGACGUUUUUUCUUUAGUCGUCGAUUUUUUAUGAACUUAUGCAAGAGGAAAUCACCUGGAAAGGCAACAUGGGAUGCUGGACGUUUAAACCGCAAACACCAAGUGUGUUUAUUGUAGUGUGCAUCUGCAUUGCAUGCCAGGCUGGACUAUUGAAUGGCGAAAGAUUGAUUCGUGACGCAGGCACCUCAAGGUUGGCCAGUCAGGUUGAACGAAGACGUGGGCCGCCGGGGAACAAAGGAGACUGACUGCACGGCAAAGUUAUUCUGUUCAACCUUUUGAGUAUCUUCGAGUGCGUCUUUCAACUCGUCGUGACAGCAUGCAGAAGUGGGUUCAGCGCACGGCUCUAUUCUCCCUCUGGUCCUCUCUCCUCUCGCUGCCGGCGGCCUCGCCUCCAAGGUCACGGCACGAUCGGCGGAAUAAUAAACAACAAGAGAGACUGUUGUGGUUUGAAAACAAGUGACAAAGACCCUGCGCCUGACCGGGCCCCCUUUCUCGCUCUCGCUCUCUCUUCUCUCUUUACUUCGUCCUCCCCUGUCUUUCUCUUCUCCUCUUUGCUCGUCCAUCAGCUUGUUUCUCUUUGUGCGUGUCUCCCUCUCCCCUCGGUUGGGCCCGGUUGCUCCAGGGGUCGGCCAGUGGCGGGUGCUCGGGCGAUGGGGCUCAGAUCCGGGCCCCUCUGCUCUCACUGGCGAGCCCGCCCGGCAGCUCGGAGGCAGCGCAUCGCCGCUGCCCUUUCUCCCUCCGCUAGAGUCUGCCGCGGCCUGGCCGCGUGCCCCGGCUGUAAUGGAACCUGAGGCUGUUUAUAAAUAGGCUAGACCUGCACCCCUCCCCAUGCUCGUCAAUGGGAGGCUGGCUCUCGCCAACGGAGGAACAGGUGCACACACUCUCCGCCCGCCGGGCCACCAGUCGAUGGCCUUUUUGUCUCCCCGACUAUUUAAAGAGCGCCCAUUUCACGCAUCGCGUCGGAUGCCGUAUUUUAUUUUUUUUUGUUUGGUGUGUAACAUGCUGAAGGAUCGACUGAGCGGAAACACACAGCCUGUGUUCUGUGUGUCUCUCCUCCCCUCCCAGGAUCGUUAUUCCAUCUGUCUCUUAAAGUGUCCGCAAUGCGUUUCGGUCCGCGGCCCGACUUCGUCUUUGAGGGGAAGGACGGUACGUGUGGAUCACGACGGCUCACACGCGAUUCCUCAGCAUCACCGUUCGUCGUGCGGUCCUCGCGUCUCACGAUACUGUUUCCUCCUCUUCCUCCUCCUCCUCCUCCUCCUCCUCCCUUCAGUUUGCUGUCAUAUGCGCUGACAGUCUAUAACGGCCUGAUCGUUGCAGGGUGGGACGUCACCGUCCUCGGCUGUCGAAGACGGGACACAUAUUUUAGCAUGCUAUGUUGAGUCCUCCAUUACUUUUAAUACGCCAGCAACACCAGGUUUCACACAAGAAUAUCAUGAAUAGCCUUUCAGCAGAGUUGUAUUGUCGUUUUUAUUGUUGUGUUAAAGGGUCUUGUUGUGAAACUCGCAAAAAGUAAACAGAAUAAAAAGGUUUAUUUUUAUUGCCGUGCAUUUUGGGGGUUUUAAUAAAAAAUGGGCAUAGGCUCUCAAGGUAUCCACUUUGCUGGUUACACAUCGAUCGCUCCAGAAACCAGUAUACACUCUGAAAUCCAUACCGGUGGUACUCGGCCAGAAUGGGCCUCCCGUCUCAUCUUCUCAAUUUGCCGCCGUGUUUGACUCUCUCCACAUGCCAUCCAUCUCUGGCCCCUCACAGCCCGCUACUAUUCGUAUUGAAUUGACACAUUCAAUGCUCCUGUAGAGAACGUAAUUCUAUAAAUAAACAGCAGGAUCUUUCUGAAAUUUUAGCUAUGUUAUGAUGGAGGCUUUGUGGAGGCCUUUUGGGUUUCUUCUCUGGGAACUCAGUCGCACCCGGCUUGAAAAGAGUCAGGUCUGAUGGUCCACUGUUAUAGUGCUGUUUUUCGCUGUGUGCCCUUAGGUCGACUGUCAUCCUGCAACGUAGCCUUUCAAAACCGUACUCUUCAAUGCACAGUGUUGAGAUGACAAACAGGCCAGUGUAUCUGCUGAUUCCCACAGUGACUGUUGAUGUAGAUUGAGUCUGAUGUCAAGAACGUACAAUAUUACCUGUCAUACUUUAUGGGCACUGUUGAGGCCAUAAAAUACAGAUAAAAAGCAGUCUCUGUGCCAAAACAAUAUUUACUUAGAAAACAAUGUGCAUGUGUUUCGGUGCAUAGUUCCCUUUUGUAAAUUGCAUCAAUCCACUGGGCUUGCUAUAUAGCCCGGCUGUAAACAAUUAAUAAACAACCGCUAUAUGAGAAGUGUAGGACUGCCACAAUCCAGGAAAUCUCCCUAGAACUCUAUAGUUCUGUAAAACUGCAUGGAAGGUAUUGGUGAUCUUUCACACCAUUGUUUUCUGAUGUGUCAUUUGCUAACUCCUGCCGUGUUACACUGCAUGCAAAAAACAAUGUUGAAUGUUGAAAACGACCCCAGCCCGUCUUUAAUUAUUUGUAUUAUAUUAUAAUUAUGCAUUUUCCAACGGGCAUCGUGAAAGCUAUAUCUACAAUAGCCUAAUAAAGGCUAAAGCAUAGAUCAUUUAGGCUGAAUAAAUUAAAUAAAAAUGAUCCUGACCAACAAUUCAAUAAUUGUUUUAAUUGUUAUUAUGAUAUAAAAUAUUUGGCUACCUGUACUCUACCCGGUAUAUCUAUAAACAAACCAAAUAUCAGGCUACCAUCUGAUCAUCCCC